AUGAUGUGGGAGGUCAAGACCUAUAGAUUCACUGGUUUCUAUGGGGAGCCCAAGAUGGACUUACGUAAGAAGUCGUGGGAUGCAAUUCGUUUUCUGAGGGCACAAGAUGAUCUCCCAUGGAUUUGUGUUGGAGAUUACAAUGAGGCACUCUUCCAAACAGAUCAACUAGGUGGUAACCCGCGGCCUUUUGCUCAAAUGGAGGACUUUAGGGACUGCUUGGCCAACCGCGGACUUGCGGACCUGGGCUUCUCGGGAUAUCCAUACACAUGGGAUAAUAAGCGUGAUGGAGCAGAGAACAUCAAGUUCCUCAUUCAGUUCUCACUCAAUGAUAAGAAAAAUGAAAAGAAAAGAUAG
rnacentral:rRNA from 1 species